GGAUUCAGUGGCGAGCCACUUACCGGCUGAGCCAUGCGCGCUGCGCUGCAUAGCUCAGCCGGUAAGAGGCUUGCCUUUGGAGC
ensembl:miRNA mir-4806 ncRNA